ACAGAAAUAAGGGGGGAGGGCACUGUUAGUUUCAGGGAGUUAUUUUUACUCCACUCAGAGAGUAAAAACUACUCUUUGCGGUGGAGUACUUUUAAAGGAGUAAUUUGAACUCCUUUAUUGGAGUAAAAACUACUCCACUGAGGAGUAAUUUUUUUGUUUACUCCCUUAACGGAGUAAGUUUUACUCUGCUGAGAAUUAGUAUCGAAUGUUUAUUAAAAAAAGAGUAAUUUUCACUCUUGUUGGUCAAAUAAUGGAGUAAAAAGUACUCUUUUCUGGGAGUAAUUUUAGCAGAGUGAAAACUGCUCCAACUAUCUAAAGUGAAAAGAAUUAUUUUUACUCCAGAUGGUCAAGAAAUGGAGUAAAAAAGUACUCCUUUUAGGGGGUAGGUUUUGAAGAGUAAAAACUACUCCAGCCAUCUCGUGUUGAAAGAGUAGUUUUUACUCCAGCUGUAUCUUUUUAGAGCAGUAACAAACCACUCCAAAUAUAUAAAAUAAAGGGAGUUGUUUUUUUUACUCUGAAUUAGCUGAAUUUAAGAAGGAAAACGAUAGUCUUUAUUAUAUAAGACAAAAGAUAAAAAUAAUAAUUUAUCGUAUCUAUUGGUAUUGAGACAAAAAACUCUACCAUGUGCCUAGGAGUUUCCUAAGAUUUCCUAAGUUCGAUCAAAACAACAAAAUAUGAUUAAAUUUCCUAAAAAUUCCUAGGAUUUCCUAGUAUAAGCAGUAGACCAGAAAAUGGAAAUAAUUUGGAUAAGAAAAUCUUAGGAAGAAGAUUUGAAGUUCUACAAUUUAGGAACUCUUAGGAAAUUCUUAGGAAAUCCUAAAAGAACAUUUUCAAUACAAGAACAGGCCUCACCAUACUUGCAUAUAUUGUCAGCUAUACUACAACAAUAAGAAAUGUAAUCAAAGACAGGCUUGGACUCGAACAUAAGUUUUAUGUGGUGUACUUUCAAAAUUGGCUCAGCAUAAUUAGUACUGCAUUUAAAAGAAAGAUAGGUUGGUUGAUAAUUGUAUAAAAUUCUUAGAUCCGAUUUGAACAUUAUAAAAUAAUAUAUAUUGUUUCUAAUAGAAAUGCUACUUGAGAUUAUAAAAAAAAAGAAGUCCCGCUUUGCAGAUAGAAGACGGCUCACCAGGGCUCGUAAAACCAAAAUGUACCGGGCGUCCCUAGCUUUAGUGGCCGAGAGGGGCUUGGGCCCAAGGCGCAAAAUCAUAACGGUCGAACGGAAGCCAUUAUCACAGCCUCCAAACAGAUAGCCGUUUAUUCCCGUCUUUUCUACGCGUAAUCCACCUUUUUUGAGGAUUUGAUGGCAGAACAUGGAUUGAAGUUAAAGGACAUUAUGAUAGAGAUAGUAAAAUGUGCUCGAGUUGAAAGCCAGAAAAGAAAGAAGUUUGAGGUAUAAGGAAUGUAUCAAUGCGUAAAUCGCAAGAAACGAAUAAAAACUUUGUAAACUUAA